rnacentral:rRNA from 1 species
GACGGGUCCCCGCACAAGCAGCGGAGCGUGUGGUUUAAUUCGUUGCUACACGAAGAACCUUACCUGGGUUUGACAUAGCAGUGGUAGGGAAGCGAAAGCGGACCGACCCUUCGGGGAGCUGUUACAGGUGUUGCAUGGCUGUCGUCAGCUCGUGUCGUGAGAUGUUCGGUUAAGUCCGCUAACGAGCGCAACCCGCGUUGUGUGUUACAAGUGUCACACAAUACCGCCGGUAUUAAGUCGGAGGAAGGUGCGGAUGACGUCAAGUCAGCAUGACCUUUAUAUCCAGGGCUACACACACGCUACAAUGGUCAGCACAAUAGGUUGCCAAGUCGUGAGACGGAGCCAAUCCUCAAAGUUGGUCUCAGUUCAGAUUGCAGGCUGCAACCCGCCUGCAUGAAGAUGGAGUUGCUAGUAACCGCAGGUCAGCUAUACUGCGGUGAAUACGUUCCCGGGGCUU